rnacentral:rRNA from 1 species
AGUGAACGCUGGCGGUAGGCCUAACACAUGCCAGUCGAACGGCAGCACAGUAAGAGCUUGCUCUUACGGGUGGCGAGUGGCGGACGGGUGAGGAAUACAUCGGAAUCUACUUUUUCGUGGGGGAUAACGUAGGGAAACUUACGCUAAUACCGCAUACGACCUACGGGUGAAAGCAGGGGAUCUUCGGACCUUGCGCGAUUGAAUGAGCCGAUGUCGGAUUAGCUAGUUGGCGGGGUAAAGGCCCACCAAGGCGACGAUCCGUAGCUGGACGGAGAGGAUGAUCAGCCACACUGGAACUGAGCCACGGUCCAGACUCCUACGGGAGGCAGCAGUGGGGAAUAUUGGACAAUGGGCGCAAGCCUGAUCCAGCCAUACCGCGUGGGUGAAGAAGGCCUUCGGGUUGUAAAGCCCUUUUGUUGGGAAAGAAAAGCAGCAGGUUAAUACCCCGCUGUUCUGACGGUACCCAAAGAAUAAGCACCGGCUAACUUCGUG